rnacentral:rRNA from 1 species
GAUGAACGCUAGCGGCAGGCUUAACACAUGCAAGUCGAGGGGUAUAGCACUUCGGUGCUAGAGACCGGCGCACGGGUGCGUAACGCGUAUGCAAUCUGCCUUUCACAGAGGGAUAGCCCAGAGAAAUUUGGAUUAAUACCUCAUAGUAUUAUGACUCGGCAUCGAGAUAUAAUUAAAGUCACAACGGUGAAAGAUGAGCAUGCGUCCCAUUAGCUAGUUGGUAAGGUAACGGCUUACCAAGGCAACGAUGGGUAGGGGUCCUGAGAGGGAGAUCCCCCACACUGGUACUGAGACACGGACCAG